GAUCCUGGCUCAGGAUGAACGCUAGCUACAGGCUUAACACAUGCAAGUCGAGGGGCAGCAUGAACUUAGCUUGCUAAGUUUGAUGGCGACCGGCGCACGGGUGAGUAACACGUAUCCAACCUGCCGAUGACUCGGGGAUAGCCUUUCGAAAGAAAGAUUAAUACCCGAUGGCAUAGUUCUUCCGCAUGGUAGAACUAUUAAAGGAUUUCGGUCAUCGAUGGGGAUACGUUCCAUUAGGUUGUUGGG
rnacentral:rRNA from 1 species